UCAUCAGGUAGAGUUAAUUCUUACCUGCGGGGCUUCGGCCCUUCAGACACAUGAUGAUAUUGGGCGAUGAGUUACCUGUGACUUACAACCCACAGGUUCGCUGGGACUUGCAACGCUCAGUGGACCUAGUCUGAU